CCAGAUCUGAAUUGCAGGUGAGAAUCCUGACGGUCUGCUGACAGAGUUCCAGGAUCCAGGGAUCUACUGAGAAACAGAAGAGGAGUCUGACAGAUGGGGAGGAUCACAUGCCAAUGUCUGGGAAUGGUUUGGCCACCACAGUGGAAAAACUAUAAGCUCCUAAGCUGUUAAGGAACGCCUCAAAGAGCAAUGGAUAAGCCAGGUACCUUUGGUUCUUGACUCCACCCAAAUAAAAGGGCAUUAAUCAGCAGGUAAUUAAGCACAA
rnacentral:lncRNA from 1 species